AGUGAGCGCUGGCGGUAGGCCUAACACAUGCAAGUCGAACGGCAGCACAGUAAGAGCUUGCUCUUACGGGUGGCGAGUGGCGGACGGGUGAGGAAUACAUCGGAAUCUACUUUUUCGUGGGGGAUAACGUAGGGAAACUUACGCUAAUACCGCAUACGACCUACGGGUGAAAGCAGGGGAUCUUCGGACCUUGCGCGAUUGAAUGAGCCGAUGUCGGAUUAGCUAGUUGGCGGGGUAAAGGCCCACCAAGGCGACGAUCCGUAGCUGGUCUGAGAGGAUGAUCAGCCACACUGGAACUGAGACACGGUCCAGAAUCCUACGGGAGGUAGCAGUGGGGAAUAUUGGACAAUGGGCGCAAGCCUGAUCCAGCCAUACCGCGUGGGUGAAGAAGGCCUUCGGGUUGUAAAGCCCUUUUGUUGGGAAAGAAAAGCAGCAGGUUAAUACCCCGCUGUUCUGACGGUACCCAAAGAAUAAGCACCGGCUAACUUCGUG
rnacentral:rRNA from 1 species